rnacentral:rRNA from 1 species
GACGAACGCUGGCGGCGUGCCUAACACAUGCACGUAGAACGCAGUUGCGAACGGGUGAGAAACGCGUAUGUAACUGCCUCAUAGCGGGGGAUAACUAAUGGGAACGAUAGCUCAUACCCCCUACUGUGAGAUGUACCUGCGUUGUAUUAGUGAGUUGGUGAGGUAAAGGCUCACCAAGGCGACGAUACAUAGCCGGCCUGAGAGGGUGAGCGGCCAAACUGGGACUGAGGAACGGACCAGACUCAUAAGGGAGGCAGCAGUGGGGAAUCUUCGGCAAUGGACGGAAGUCUGACCGCGCAACGCCGCGUGAGUGAAGAAGGUGUUCGGGUCGUAAAGCUCUGUUAUGAGGGAAGCGGUACCUAAACAGAAAGGGACGGCUAACUACGGGCCAGCAGCCGCGGUAAUUC